rnacentral:rRNA from 1 species
CGGGACGGGGUGGAGUAAUGUCUGGGAAACUGCCUGAUGGAGGGGGGUAACUACUGGAAACGGUAGCUAAUACCGCAUAACGUCGCAAGACCAAAGAGGGGGACCUUCGGGGCCUCUUGCCAUCGGAUGUGCCCAGAUGGGAUUAGCUAGUAGGUGGGGUAACGGCUCACCUAGGCGACGAUCCCUAGCUGGUCUGAGAGGAUGACCAGCCACACUGGAACUGAGACACGGUCCAG